GGUUGAUCCUGCCAGUAGUCAUAUGCUUGUCUCAAAGAUUAAGCCAUGCAUGUCUAAGUAUAAACACCUUUAUACAGUGAAACUGCGUACAGCUCAUUAUAUCAGUUAUGAUUUAUUUGAUGGUUAUUUUCUACAUGGAUACCUGUAGUAAUUCUAGAGCUAAUACAUGCGUAAAGUCCCGACUCGUGAGGGAAGGGAUGUAUUUAUUAGAUAGCAAACCAAUGCAGGCGCAAGUCUGGUUUUUUGGUGACUCCUAGUAACUGUUCGAAUCGCAUGGCUUCACGCUGGCGAU
rnacentral:rRNA from 1 species